rnacentral:rRNA from 1 species
GAGUUUGAUCAUGGCUCAGGAUGAACGCUGGCGGCGUGCCUAACACAUGCAAGUCGAACGGAUCCAUAUUGAAACCUAGUGAUGUAUGGAUUAGUGGCGGACGGGUGAGUAACGCGUGGAUAACCUGCCGUAUACAGGGGGAUAACACUUAGAAAUAGGUGCUAAUACCGCAUAAGCGCACGGUUCCGCAUGGAACAGUGUGAAAAACUCCGGUGGUAUACGAUGGAUCCGCGUCUGAUUAGCCAGUUGGCGGGGUAACGGCCCACCAAAGCGACGAUCAGUAGCCGGCCUGAGAGGGUGAACGGCCACAUUGGGACUGAGACACGGCCCAAACUCCUACGGGAGGCAGCAGUGGGGAAUAUUGCACAAUGGGGGAAACCCUGAUGCAGCGACGCCGCGUGAGUGAAGAAGUAUUUCGGUACGUAAAGCUCUAUCAGCAGGGAAGAAAGAAAGUCCUUUGGACUUUGGACGGUACCUGACCAAGAAGCCCCGGCUAACUACGUGCCAGCAGCCGCGGUAAUACGUAGGGGGCAAGCGUUAUCCGGAUUUACUGGGUGUAAAGGGAGCGUAGACGGCAGCGCAAGUCUGGAGUGAAAUGCCGGGGCCCAACCCCGGAACUGCUUUGGAAACUGUGCAGCUCGAGUGCAGGAGAGGUAAGCGGAAUUCCUAGUGUAGCGGUGAAAUGCGUAGAUAUUAGGAGGAACACCAGUGGCGAAGGCGGCUUACUGGACUGUAACUGACGUUGAGGCUCGAAAGCGUGGGGAGCAAACAGGAUUAGAUACCCUGGUAGUCCACGCCGUAAACGAUGAUUACUAGGUGUCGGGGGGCCAAGGCCCUCCGGUGCCGCCGCAAACGCAUUAAGUAAUCCACCUGGGGAGUACGUUCGCAAGAAUGAAACUCAAAGGAAUUGACGG